CCGAGGUAGGAGUCGCGUUGGCAAAUCCGCGUGACAAUCCGAAGACGUGAUGCAUACCGAACAAAAGUAGGGAAAUGUGUGAGCCAGCUGCCAAGAAAAGCCGCUAUUGUUUGUACUGUACCCGUACCGUAAACCGACACAGGUAGGUGAGGAGAGAAUCCUAAGGCCGACGGGAGAAGCAUUGUUAAGGAACUCGGCAAAAUGACUCCGUAACUUCGGGAGAAGGAGUGCCAGUGAGAGCUGGCCGCAGAGAAUUGGCCCAAGCAACUGUUUAGCAAAAACACAGGUCUAUGCAAAACCGUAAGGUGAAGUAUAUGGGCUGACGCCUGCCCGGUGCUGGAAGGUUAAGGGGAGAGGUUAGCGCAAGCGAAGCUUUGAACUUAAGCCCCAGUAAACGGCGGCCGUAACAAUAACGGUCCUAAGGUAGCGAAAUUCCUUGUCGGGUAAGUUCCGACCCGCACGAAAGGCGUAAUGAUAUGGGCACUGUCUCAACAAUGCACCCGGUGAAAUUGAAAUACCAGUGAAGAUGCUGGUUACCUGCGCCAGGACGGAAAGACCCCAUGGAGCUUUACUCCAGCUUGAUACUGGGAUUCGAUAUUGUAUGUACAGGAUAGGUGGGAGGCGAAGAAGCAUUGACGCCAGUUGAUGCGGAGCCGCCGUUGGGAUACCACCCUUGCAGUAUUGGAUUUCUAACCAGCAGCCGUGACCCGGCUGGGGGACAAUGUCAGGUGGGGAGUUUGACUGGGGCGGUCGCCUCCGAAAGGGUAUCGGAGGCGCUCAAAGGUUCCCUCAGAAUGGUUGGAAACCAUUCGAAGAGUGCAAAGGCAGAAGGGAGCUUGACUGCGACACCGACGGGUGGAGCAGGUACGAAAGUAGGACUUAGUGAUCCGGUGGUAUAAAGUGGGAUUGCCAUCGCUCAACGGAUAAAAGCUACCCUGGGAUAACAGGCUUAUCACUCCCAAGAGUUCACAUCGACGGAGUGGUUUGGCACCUCGAUGUCGGCUCAUCGCAUCCUGGGGCUGAAGUAGGUCCCAAGGGUUGGGCUGUUCGCCCAUUAAAGCGGUACGCGAGCUGGGUUCAGAACGUCGUGAGACAGUUCGGUCCCUAUCCGGCGUGGGCGUAGGAUAUUUGAGAGGAGCUGGCCUUAGUACGAGAGGACCGGGCUGGACUGACCGCUGGUGUAUCUGUUGUUCCGCCAGGAGCAUGGCAGAGUAGCCAAGUCAGGAAGGGAUAAACGCUGAAGGCAUCUAAGCGUGAAGCCCCCCUCAAGAUGAGAUAUCCCAACGCAAGUUGUAAGACCCCUUGAAGACGACAAGGUAGAUAGGGCAGAGGUGGAAGUGCAGUAAUGCAUGGAGCUGACUGUUACUAAUCGGUCGAGGGCAUAACCGA
rnacentral:rRNA from 1 species